rnacentral:rRNA from 1 species
UACGUAGGGUGCGAGCGUUAAUCGGAAUUACUGGGCGUAAAGCGCGCGUAGGCGGUGAUCUUUGUCAGAGGUGAAAGCCCGGGGCUCAACUCCGGAAUUGCCUUUGAAACGGGAUUGCUUGAGUCCGAGAGAGGAUGGCGGAAUUCCUAGUGUAGAGGUGAAAUUCGUAGAUAUUAGGAAGAACACCGGUGGCGAAGGCGGCCAUCUGGCUCGGUACUGACGCUCAGGCGCGAAAGCGUGGGGAGCAAACAGG